GAUGAACGCUAGCGGCAGGCCUAACACAUGCAAGUCGAGGGGUAGAAGUUGCUUGCAACUUUGAGACCGGCGCACGGGUGCGUAACGCGUAUGCAAUCUACCUUGUACAGGGGGAUAGCCCAGAGAAAUUUGGAUUAAUACCCCAUAGUGUAAUGAAAUCGCAUGGUUUUAUUACUAAAGUUCCAACGGUACAAGAUGAGCAUGCGUCCUACUAGCUAGUUGGUGUGGUAACGGCAAACCAAGGCAACGAUAGGUAGGGGUCCUGAGAGGGACAUCCCCCACACUGGUACUGAGACACGGACCAGACUCCUACGGGAGGCAGCAGUGAGGAAUAUUGGUCAAUGGGCGCAAGCCUGAACCAGCCAUGCCGCGUGCAGGAAGACGGUCCUAUGGAUUGUAAACUGCUUUUGUACGGGAAGAAACACUCCUACGUGUAGGAGCUUGACGGUACCGUAAGAAUAAGGAUCGGCUAACUCCGUGCCAGCAGCCGCCGUAA
rnacentral:rRNA from 1 species